GAAGGACUUGCAUAUUUCCAAGGCUAUUCACACAUCUUUUAUUGAAGUGACUGAAGAAGGUUCUGAAGCAGCUGCAGCCUCGGAAAUGAUUGCUGUUAGCAGAAUGAUGGUCCUUAAUCCUCAGAUCAUUGCUGAUCAUCCAUUUUUCUUUCUGAUCAGAAAUCGGAGGACAGGUACCAUCCUGUUCAUGGGCAGAGUCAUGCACCCUGAAGAUAUUAAUCCAAAUAGACAUGAUUUUGAAGCUUUGUAGAUGCACCAGUUCUACACUGAUAAUGCCUCACUUAACAGCUUUUCAUUCAUAAAUGAUGUGUUUUGCAGUUUUUGCACUUUUACAGUCUGGUAAUUUUUGUCAUAACUAGCUGAAGUAAAAGAAUAGAGAAAAUUUGUAGGAAAUGUCUGUAUUUACGAAAUGUUUGUACUACUAUUAUUGUACCGUCACCUUCAUCUCUUAAAUACGUGAACAUUGUUCCAUAUUUAUAACAUUCUAAACUAUUUAAUUAUGAAGCCCUUGGUAAUACUCUUAAUGCUACAAUGGUAGUUUUAAAAAUAAAGUGAAAAUUAUGUGCCUUUGCUUAGAU